GAUGAACGCUAGCUACAGGCUUAACACAUGCAAGUCGAGGGGCAGCAUGAACAAAGCUUGCUUUGUUUGAUGGCGACCGGCGCACGGGUGCGUAACACGUAUCCAAUCUGCCCGCGGCUCGGGGAUAGCCCAUCGAAAGAUGGAUUAAUACCCGAUGACGUGGUUUCUCCGCAUGGAGUUUCCACUAAAGGUUUUCCGGCCGCGGAUGAGGAUGCGUAUGAUUAGGUAGUAGGCGGGGUAACGGCCCACCUAGCCUUCGAUCAUUAGGGGUUCUGAGAGGAAGGUCCCCCACACUGGAACUGAGACACGGUCCAGACUCCUACGGGAGGCAGCAGUGAGGAAUAUUGGUCAAUGGGCGAGAGCCUGAACCAGCCAAGUAGCGUGAAGGAAGACUGCCCUAUGGGUUGUAAACUUCUUUUGUUCGGGAAUAAAGUGCAGUACGCGUACUGUUUUGUAUGUACCGUUCGAAUAAGCAUCGGCUAAUUCCGUGCCAGCCGCCGCAGUAACAC
rnacentral:rRNA from 1 species